rnacentral:rRNA from 1 species
GACGAACGCUGGCGGCGUGCCUAAUACAUGCAAGUAGAACGCUGAAGGAGGAGCUUGCUUCUCUGGAUGAGUUGCGAACGGGUGAGUAACGCGUAGGUAACCUGCCUGGUAGCGGGGGAUAACUAUUGGAAACGAUAGCUAAUACCGCAUAAGAGUAGAUGUUGCAUGACAUUUGCUUAAAAGGUGCAAUUGCAUCACUACCAGAUGGACCUGCGUUGUAUUAGCUAGUUGGCGGGGUAACGGCUUACCAAGGCGACGAUACAUAGCCGACCUGAGAGGGUGAUCGGCCACACUGGGACUGAGACACGGCCCAGACUCCUACGGGAGGCAGCAGUAGGGAAUCUUCGGCAAUGGACGGAAGUCUGACCGAGCAACGCCGCGUGAGUGAAGAAGGUUUUCGGAUCGUAAAGCUCUGUUGUAAGAGAAGAACGAGUGUGAGAGUGGAAAGUUCACACUGUGACGGUAUCUUACCAGAAAGGGACGGCUAACUACGUG